AGUCCCGCAACGAGCGCAACCCUUAUCCUUGUUUGCCAGCGAGUAAUGUCGGGAACUCCAGGGAGACUGCCGGUGAUAAACCGGAGGAAGGUGGGGACGACGUCAAGUCAUCAUGGCCCUUACGAGUAGGGCUACACACGUGCUACAAUGGCGCAUACAGAGGGCAGCAAGCUAGCGAUAGUGAGCGAAUCCCAAAAAGUGCGUCGUAGUCCGGAUUGGAGUCUGCAACUCGACUCCAUGAAGUCGGAAUCGCUAGUAAUCGUGGAUCAGAAUGCCACGGUGAAUACGUUCCCGGGCCUU
rnacentral:rRNA from 1 species